rnacentral:rRNA from 1 species
CCCUUAGAUGUUCUGGGCUGCACGCGCGCUACACUGAUGCACUCAACGAGUUUACGACCUUGCCCGAUAGGGUUGGGUAAUCUUUUUAAAAUGCAUCGUGAUGGGGAUAGAUUAUUGCAAUUAUUAAUCUUCAACGAGGACUUCCUAGUAAGCGCGAGUCAUCAGCUCGUGCUGAUUACGUCCCUGCCCUUUGUACACACCGCCCGUCGCUCCUACCGAUUGAGUGCUCAGGUGAAUAAUUCGGACUGCAGCAAUGUUUGGAUCCCGAACGUUGCAGCGGAAAGUUUAGUGAACCUUAUCACUUAGAGGAAGGAGAAGUCGUAACA